rnacentral:rRNA from 1 species
GUCUUUUUGGUAUUUAAUAUAAAGUCUGACCUGCCCACUGAAUAUAGUUUGAAGGGCCGCAGUAUUUUGACUGUGCAAAGGUAGCAUAAUCAUUAGUCUUUUAAUUGAGGGCUGGUAUGAAUGGUUGGAUGAGAUACAAGCUGUGUCAUAUAAAUUAAUAUUUGAAUUUAACUUUUUAGUCAAAAGGCUAAAAUAAUUUUGAAAGACGAGAAGACCCCGUAGAGCUUUAUAUAAUAAAUAUUUAAUUUAUUAAGAUUUAUCAAAUUUAGUUAUUUUAUUAUAUUUUGUUGGGGUGACAAUAAAAUUUAUAAAACUUUUAUUUUUAUUUAACAUUAAUUUAUGAUUAAAUGAUCCAGUUUUAUUGAUUAUAAAUUUAAGUUACCUUGGGGAUAACAGCGUAAUUUUUUUUGAGAGUUCUUAUCGACAAAAAAGAUUGCGACCUCGAUGUUGGAUUAAGAGUAAUUUUGGGUGUAGAAGUUCAAAGUUUAAGUCUGUUCGACUUUUAAAUUCUUACAU